CCCCAGUAACGUCAACCUGCAGAAGGAAAGGUUCCAUGUCCUUUACGCUCCAAGGUCACGGAGAUCAUUACGUUAAACGUGUCAUGCAAUGGUGUAGAGUUUGGCAACGUCAACCUGCAGAAUGAAAGGCCAGUUUGUAUGUCCUUCACUUUCGAAGGUCACGGAGAUCAUUACUUAAAAAUUGUCAUUCAGUGGUGUAGAGGCUGGGUUAGAACGGGAAGUGUUUGCUUCAUUAUCAAGCAGGUAUAAUAGCUGCAAGGCUCAAGAGGUGAGGGUGAGGAAAAAUCGUAUAAAAGGAGAGAGAAAAGGCUACGGGAUCUCAGUCGAAUGAGCAUCUCCGACACGGCAACACCUGCAGCCCACUAUUUGUCACCAACUGCCUUCUUCAUUGCAAUUCCGGUUCGCAAUCACGGUUAACUAUGGCACCGUGCUGCUGUUUGUUGUUGUAUGGUUAAUGGUUGGGUCAACCACGGGUGUACCGAUGUCUCCUGGACAUGGUGGAUACCAAACAACAGCAGCGAAAGAAUAAUACACCACGUCGCCGCCUUACUACACAUCAACAUCUAGUUACGCAACAUCUACUUACUACGCCGAGGCUCCGAAGUACAGCACCGCCGAGUAUACUGUCCCAGCCUACUACACCGAAGUCCAAAAUUACUACACUACUAUGAAUGCUGCCCCAGCCUACUACACCGAGGCCCCAUCUUAUUUGAAUACCAAAGCGGUCGAGUACUACACCGAACUGCACAAGUACUACUCUGACCCGAACUACACAACCACAAUUGGGGCGGCCAAGUACUACAACGGUAUUACACUACAACCAAAUGUUAAGUCGACCACUAGUGUGUCUCGUGGGAAUGUGGAUACCAAACCGCAACGCCGCCGUCUUAUAACACAACAUACGCAACAACCGGUUACUUCACCACCAAUUCUCCAGAGUAUAAUCCACAACUGAUGAUGUCCCGAACUACUACACCGAAGCCCCAAAGUAUAAUUCUGCCUCGAGUUACACCACCAAGGCACCGGAGUACUACACCACCAAGGCACCGGAGUACUACACCACCAAGGCACCG